GUCAUCCCGAUGAAGACUGUAGAACAAAAUUAUUGGCGGAUCGAAACUACGAUAUGGUACCAGUACCAAAACCUGUGACAAUAUUCAAAACAAUACAGGAGAAACCACUGCCACAUUUAGAUAACUCACAGUUGAAUGACGAAUUUUACAGCAAGUUUUCCCCAUCGAGUCAACCAGUAUCAGGGUUAGCAAGUUUUGAGCAGAAAGG